ACUUCCUGUUUCAAGAUGGACGAAGACACAGACCACAAACCUCCUAACUUAAAAAUAUGUAUCGAGAAUACGGAAUCUGACGAUGAAAGACGCGAUCGGGUGGCUGUGUCUGAAGACGAAGAGCUUGAUUAUAAUGAAGAAGUCGAAAGCAGUGGCAGCAGCAGUAGUUCUUCCUCAUCAUCAGAUGAAGAGAACAAAGAAAAGAAACAGAAAGUAAAGGUGGCAAAAGAUGACACAAGCAAGGCAGAGAAAAUCAAACCAACCAAAAGGACACCCCCAGAAAUUCCAUGGCCACCUGGAAAAUGGCGUCUUGGAAAGCCCUUUAAAAAGUCAAAGUAUCUCUUUCUGAGAUAUGCCAUGAAAACUGAUAAAAAGUUACAUAGCACGGAAAAAACAGGCAAGAUGUACCAUAAGAACAGAGGAACAAAUAACAGAGAUGAAAGAGGUUUGAUAAGCAAGUCCAGGAAGGAGAGUUUCCGCUCCAAACAGCUUCAGGAACAAACAGGGGAAGCAAAGACAGCCCUUAGUGCAAAGAGGUCGACCAUAAAGUACGACGAUGUAGAGGACAUCUUUGGUGAUGACACAGUUAAUGUUAAAAUGGAAACAGAUGAAAUUGAAGAAUUUGGUGCCAAGCCACAGAGUAAAAAGGAAAUUGAAGAAAGAUUACGAAGUAUACUUGGUGAGAAAAAUCCCAAAGCAAGGGAGCCUGAAAGUGAAGAAGAAGAUCUGCCCCCCAAGGAGGAGUCAGAUGAUGACCUUGACCUGACACUGACCAACAAGGCGGCUGAGGUGGAUGAGGAAGCGGCCCUGAUGGAGCAGGAACUAGACAUUUUGUUGGCCACUCCUCCGAGGAAGAGAACAAUGAGAAUGUACGCUGACGAUGUGGAAGAGGAGAAGAUUAGCAAAAGGGUGAAUAAAAGAAAAAAGACAGAGGAAUCUCCAGAAUUCCUGCGACAAAGAGAACACUCCCCUGAACCACGACGCAGGAAAGACGCUAGGGACAGAAUCUCGGGAAAGUCAGUUGCCAUGUCAACAUCUUCUUCCUCUGGUGGAUCUGAUCUCCGCAACAAACUAAAAGCCAUCCGCAGAACACCGUACGACAAGCCUUCAUCUCAUGCUCGAUACCAGGGAGUGAGGGUUGAGGUUCGAGACUGAUGCUCCAAACUUUUAAAGUUUUGUGAGAAUGGUGUUUAAAUUCAGCUUAUUUUUAUUUUAGUCUCUAAGCUGAUAAUUUAUUGAAAUGGAUUAGUAGUACCUUCCUUACAUGAUGUUGUGUUUAAGACAUUCUUGUUAUGUGUGCAUUGUCAUAUGUAUGUGAAGGUACAAAUUUUUAAGGGAAGGAAUGUCUUUUAUUUUUUUUUGUACAAAAUCUUUUUUAAAUCCAUAGUUUAACUUAACAUUCAGUUGAUCUGAUUGGUUAUAUUUUAAUGUUUUGAUAUUUGUAAAUCUAAAAAAAUUGUUGAAAAGCAAAAAUAUUUAAAAGAGAUGGUGAAAGUUUGCUGUAGGAAAGUUUUUUUUUAAAGGAAGCUUGCAGCCUCAUGUUGUAUUAAAAAGUGAUGUUUCAGUCUGUUUUUCAAAUCAUUGGUCCAGCAAAAUGGGACUCACUUUGUCUCUGGCUACUGUGUAUGAAGUUACCAAAAUAAAAGCAAUUAAGAUACAUGU
rnacentral:misc_RNA from 1 species